GUAAUGUGACAACAAUACAACC
rnacentral:miRNA from 1 species